AGAGAGGCAGACGGAACUGCUGGGGUAGGUGUGAAAUCCGUAGAUAUCAGCAGGAACGCCGGUGGAGACGUNGGUCUGCUGGGCUGUAACCGACGCUGAGGCACGAAAGUUAGGGGAGCAAACCGGAUUAGAUACCCGGGUAGUCCUAGCCGUAAACGAUGCUCACUUGGUGUGGGGGCGAAGGUCUCCGUGCUGAAGCUAACGCGUUAAGUGAGCCGCCUGGGGAGUAUGCCCGCAAGGGUGAAACUCAAAGGAAUUGACGG
rnacentral:rRNA from 1 species